rnacentral:rRNA from 1 species
UACAGAGGGUGCAAGCGUUAUCCGGAAUGAUUGGGCGUAAAGCGUCUGUAGGCGGUUUUUUAAGUCCGCCGUGAAAUCCCAGGGCUCAACUCUGGACAGGCGGUGGAAACUGCCAAGCUGGAGUACGGUAGGGGCAGAGGGAAUUUCCGGUGGAGCGGUGAAAUGCGUAGAGAUCGGGAAGAACACCAACGGCGAAAGCACUCUGCUGGGCCGACACUGACACUGAGAGACGAAAGCUAGGGGAGCGAAUGGG